rnacentral:rRNA from 6 species
UUUUGACCUCGGAUCAGGUAGGGAUACCCGCUGAACUUAAGCAUAUCAAUAAGCGGAGGAAAAGAAACCAACAGGGAUUGCCCUAGUAACGGCGAGUGAAGCGGCAACAGCUCAAAUUUGAAAUCUGGCUCUUUUAGAGUCCGAGUUGUAAUUUGCAGAGGGCGCUUUGGCUUUGGCAGCGGUCCAAGUUCCUUGGAACAGGACGUCACAGAGGGUGAGAAUCCCGUACGUGGUCGCUGGCUAUUGCCGUGUAAAGCCCCUUCGACGAGUCGAGUUGUUUGGGAAUGCAGCUCUAAAUGGGAGGUACAUUUCUUCUAAAGCUAAAUAUUGGCCAGAGACCGAUAGCGCACAAGUAGAGUGAUCGAAAGAUGAAAAGCACUUUGGAAAGAGAGUCAAACAGCACGUGAAAUUGUUGAAAGGGAAGCGCUUGCAGCCAGACUUGCUUACAGUUGCUCAUCCGGGUUUCUACCCGGUGCACUCUUCUGUAGGCAGGCCAGCAUCAGUUUGGGCGGUAGGAUAAAGGUCUCUGUCACGUACCUCCUUUCGGGGAGGCCUUAUAGGGGAGACGACAUACUACCAGCCUGGACUGAGGUCCGCGCAUCUGCUAGGAUGCUGGCGUAAUGGCUGUAA